rnacentral:rRNA from 1 species
UACGUAGGGACCGAGCGUUGUCCGGAUUUAUUGGGCGUAAAGAGCUUGUAGGCGGUUCGGUAAGUCGGGUGUGAAACCUCUGGGCUCAACUCAGAGACGCCACCCGAUACUGCUGUGACUAGAGUGCGGUAGGGGAGCGGGGAAUUCCUGGUGUAGCGGUGAAAUGCGCAGAUAUCAGGAGGAACACCAGUGGCGAAGGCGCCGCUCUGGGCCGUAACUGACGCUGAGAAGCGAAAGCGUGGGUAGCAAACAGG